UACGGGGGGGGCAAGCGUUGUUCGGAAUUACUGGGCGUAAAGGGCUCGUAGGCGGCCAACUAAGUCGGACGUGAAAUCCCCAGGCUCAACCUGGGAACUGCGUCCGAUACUGGAUGGCUUGAAUCCGGGAGAGGGAUGCAGAAUUCCAGGUGUAGCGGUGAAAUGCGUAGAUAUUAGGAGGAAUACCAGUUGCGAAGGCGGCUCUCUGGACUGUAACUGACACUGAGGCACGAAAGCGUGGGGAGCAAACAGG
rnacentral:rRNA from 1 species